CCAAACAGACUCCGCAGCUCCCGCGUCCUGGUUAGUUCCGUUCCGUUGCUGCUGACAUCGUGAACCUGAACCGUGUGCCUCCUCACCUCCGCGGCGGUCAAACGCGCCAGAGCGGCAGCUUGCACGGGAGCGCUCGAACGCGACCGCGACUUUGGUAGAUGGCCGGUAGUAGUAACAACCAACAACUACUAACGACUCGACUCGACUCGACUCGACUGGAUGUUGGCACCGCCACCUCACCCACAACAGAAAGCGAGCGUUCUCUUCCGCUCCAGGAUUUCCUUCGGAGGAUGAUCUCAGAAAGCGAGACGUACGCCCAGGUCGGGGAGCCCCAGCACUUACCACGGCCCCGUUUUGCUGCGCUCGUUGCUUGCAACCGAGACGUGGCUCGUGGUGGCUGAGAUUUCCUUCAGAUGAUGAUCUCAGAAAGGGGCUUUGGCCCACAGGCCGCACAGGGAUGGGUGAAGUGACGGGAUGGAGAACGCGCGCGCGCACGCGGCGUGCGGAGCUCGUACGUAGCCCACACAACUACGCACAAGUUGUUUGGUCCGCCGGUUUGGGCGGCCGUGGUGGUGAGUGGUGACUCACCGACGGCGACGCGCCGUGCGCCGGGAAUCAACGAAAGGCCCCCCUCCCCUCCUUCCCUCUGCUCGACAGCUGGGCACCCGCUCGCUUGCGGCUGAGGAGCUCAGUGCUCCCAGAUUUUUCCGCGGUGCCGUCCAACCGGAUCACCUUCUGACGAUCCACUCCCCCAUUCUCCCAAUUGUACAGUGUAUCAGUUUGUCAGAGGCUUUGGAACGAUCAGGUCCUUAGAGCAGGUUGGAGUGCCUCUUGUGUUUGAUUGGAACAAACGGGAUGCGUGAUUUUUCUCUCUCUUCUCUCUGUUAAUUUCUUUUCUCUGAAAAUGUGCGUGGAAGUUUUGGUUCCACUAGACCAAAUCUUUUUUCUCUCUCGUCAAAGUCACCUGGCUGUUUGAAACUGCCGCUGCUGCUUGCUUGCGUGCUACGGUAUGUAAGCAGCAGCAACAGUCUCCUUCGUGGCCAUUGACCCUAUUGCUCCUUUGCUAGUAGUAGAAUUUUUCCUCUGCGUCUCUCUCGUUUUCUUUGUGAGGAGUCAGAGGCAGGGAGGAUGGAGAGUUGUAUUAUUUGUUUGGCCCAGGAGUGAGGAGGGAGGAUGGCUAGGACCCUGCGACUGGUCCAGCCCACAGGGCCCAG
rnacentral:lncRNA from 1 species